GGGAUAGCCGCCCGAAAGGACGGGUAAUACCGGAUACCCCGGGGUGCCGCAUGGCACCCCGGCUAAAGCCCCGACGGGAGGGGAUGGCUCCGCGGCCCAUCAGGUAGACGGCGGGGUGACGGCCCACCGUGCCGACAACGGGUAGCCGGGUUGAGAGACCGACCGGCCAGAUUGGGACUGAGACACGGCCCAGACUCCUACGGGAGGCAGCAGUGGGGAAUCUUGCGCAAUGGGGGGAACCCUGACGCAGCGACGCCGCGUGCGGGACGGAGGCCUUCGGGUCGUAAACCGCUUUCAGCAGGGAAGAGUCAAGACUGUACCUGCAGAAGAAGCCCCGGCUAACUACGUGCCAGCAGCCGCGGUAAUACGUAGGGGGCGAGCGUUAUCCGGAUUCAUUGGGCGUAAAGCGCGCGUAGGCGGCCCGGCAGGCCGGGGGUCGAAGCGGGGGGCUCAACCCCCCGAAGCCCCCGGAACCUCCGCGGCUUGGGUCCGGUAGGGGAGGGUGGAACACCCGGUGUAGCGGUGGAAUGCGCAGAUAUCGGGUGGAACACCGGUGGCGAAGGCGGCCCUCUGGGCCGAGACCGACGCUGAGGCGCGAAAGCUGGGGGAGCGAACAGGAUUAGAUACCCUGGUAGUCCCAGCCGUAAACGAUAGACGCUAGGUGUGGGGGGACGAUCCCCCCGUGCCGCAG
rnacentral:rRNA from 1 species